GUAUGGUUUAAUGUAACUGUGCAACAACGUUGCAAUUAAAUGUGCUAUAUAAAUGAUAACAGUUACUCCGCCCACUCCAGUUGUAGACUCCUGUUGGAGGCAAGAACACUUCACACAAUUUCCCCAGAAAUUGUAGCUUUUCUAGUUAUUAUUAUUAUUCUUAUUAUAGCAAAAUUUGCCACCCUAACUCCUCCCACAGUUUUUACACUACAUAGACAAAAAUUUACCAAAACGUGCAGAUUGUUCCCGAUCGGAUUGCUAUUACUUUGU